UACACGAAGCUCUUCCGAUUUUUCCUCUUUCUCUAUCCCUAUCCCAUAGGUAAAGCCUUUGAAUCAAUUGAGAACCUUUUCUUUUGUAUCUGUAUGAAUCGAUAUUAUUACAUUCCAAUUCCUUCCCGAUACCUCCCAAGGAAAAUCCCGAAUUGGAUUA